rnacentral:rRNA from 1 species
GCGGUGGAGCAUGUGGUUAAUUCGAAGCAACGCGAAGAACCUUACCAGGUCUUGACAUCCCCUGACCAACCCGAGAGAUCGGCGUUCCCCUUCGGGGGACAGGGUGACAGGUGGUGCAUGGUUGUCGUCAGCUCGUGUCGUGAGAUGUUGGGUUAAGUCCCGCAACGAGCGCAACCCUCGACCUUAGUUGCCAGCAUUCAGUUGGGCACUCUAAGGUGACUGCCGGCUAAAAGUCGGAGGAAGGUGGGGAUGACGUCAAAUCAUCAUGCCCCUUAUGACCUGGGCUACACACGUGCUACAAUGGGCGGUACAAAGGGUCGCGAACCCGCGAGGGGGAGCCAAUCCCAAAAAGCCGCUCUCAGUUCGGAUUGCAGGCUGCAACUCGCCUGCAUGAAGCCGGAAUCGCUAGUAAUCGCGGAUCAGCAUGCCGCGGUGAAUACGUUCCCGGGCCUU